AGUGACGCGUGAGGAACCUGCCUCAAAGAGGGGGACAACAGUUGGAAACGGCUGCUAAUACCGCAUAAGCCCACGGCUCGGCAUCGAGCAGAGGGAAAAGGAGCAAUCCGCUUUGAGAUGGCCUCGCGUCCGAUUAGCUAGUUGGUGAGGUAAUGGCCCACCAAGGCAACGAUCGGUAGCCGGACUGAGAGGUUGAACGGCCACAUUGGGACUGAGACACGGCCCAG
rnacentral:rRNA from 1 species